UAAAAUUCACCCACACGCACACUCUCCAAUCAAGGGUAGCACGAAAGCGGCGGGAUUUGAUUUAAGAAAUUUAAACGACUGUUUAGUACCUAGAAAAUCACGAGUAAAAAUAUCCACCGGUUUGAAAUUUCGACUGCCCGACGGAUGUUGUGGGAGAAUUGUAUCCAGAUCCGGAUCGACAAUAAAUCACUGUAUUGAUGUUGGAGCAGGAGUUAUUGAUGCAGAUUAUCAAUGGAAAGUACAAGUGGUGUUAAUUAACCAUGCAAAUGAGGAUUUUCAUAUUAAAUCAGGUGAACGAAUUGCACAGUUGAUUUGCGAGAGAAUUUUCAAUCCUAUUUUAAUGGAGGAAGAGGAAAUACACAAUUCUAAUGUUAGCGAAUUAAGCGAAAAAGUGCGCUGGGAAAAUAUUACGAAUAGCUACACCCCACCAAGAAAUCCGACAAAUUACAUUUCUAAAAAUUUCCCCGAAUUUCUCAAAGGAUCAAUCCAAUGUUAUGAAUGUGAAAAAAUAUUUUGUUUCUGUGAGUCAUCUAUUGCAUUACAUAAAAUUAUCGAUAUAAUAAAUAAAAAGUAAAAACAAAAAAAA